rnacentral:rRNA from 1 species
AUUGAACGCUGGCGGCAGGCCUAACACAUGCAAGUCGAGCGGAGCGGCGGACGGGUGAGUAAUGCCUAGGAAUCUGCCUGGUAGUGGGGGAUAACGUCCGGAAACGGGCGCUAAUACCGCAUACUAUCAGAUGAGCCUAGGUAGGAUUAGCUAGUUGGUGGGGUAAAGCCCUACUAAGGCAACGAUCCGUACCUGGUCUGAGAGGAUGACCAGUCACACUGAAACUGAGACACGGUCCAGACUCCUACGGGUGGCAGCAGUGGUGAAUAUUUGACAAUGGGCGAAAGCCUGAUCCAUCCAUGCCGCGUGUGUGAAGAAGGUCUUCGGAUUGUAAAGCUCUUUAAGUUGGGAGGCGUUACCAUCAGAAUAAGCACCGGCUAACUUCGUGCCAGCAGCCGCGGUAAUAC